rnacentral:rRNA from 1 species
UACGUAGGGCGCAAGCGUUGUCCGGAAUUAUUGGGCGUAAAGAGCUCGUAGGCGGUUUGUCGCGUCUGCUGUGAAAACUGGAGGCUCAACCUCCAGCCUGCAGUGGGUACGGGCAAACUAGAGUGCGGUAGGGGAGAUUGGAAUUCCUGGUGUAGCGGUGGAAUGCGCAGAUAUCAGGAGGAACACCGAUGGCGAAGGCAGAUCUCUGGGC